UUGAAUGGCCGCGGUAUUUUGACCGUGCUAAGGUAGCAUAAUCAUUAGUUUUUUAAUUGAAAGCUAGAAUGAAUGGUUGGAUGAAAAAAUAGCUGUCUCUAUAUUAAAUAUAAUAGAAUUUUAUUUUUAAGUUAAAAAGCUUAAAUUUUAUUAAAAGACAAGAAGACCCUAUAGAGUUUUAUAAUUAAUUAUAUUAUAUUUUUGGAAUUAAUUUUAUAUUAAAAAUUAAUUAUUUAAUUGGGGUGAUUAAAAAAUUUACUAAACUUUUUUUGUAUUUUUAUAUUAAUUUAUAAGUUAUUGAUCCAAAAUUUUUGAUUAUAAGAUAAAAUUACCUUAGGGAUAACAGCGUAAUUUUAUUAGAGAGUU
rnacentral:rRNA from 1 species